rnacentral:rRNA from 1 species
ACGUAGGUGGCAAGCGUUGUCCGGAAUUAUUGGGUGUAAAGCGCGCGCAGGUGGUUAUAUAAGUCUGAUUUUAAAGUUCGGGGCUCAACCCCGUGAUGGAUUGGAAACUGUAUGACUUGAGUACAGUAGAGGUAAGCGGAAUUCCCAGUGGGGCGGUGAAUGGCGUAGAUAUGGGGAGGAGCACCAGUGGCGAAGGCGGCUUACUGGACUGUAACUGACUCUGAGGCGCGGAAGCUAGGGUAGCAACCGG